rnacentral:rRNA from 1 species
CCUACGGGUGGCAGCAGUGAGGAAUAUUGGUCAAUGGGCGAGAGCCUGAACCAGCCAAGUCGCGUGAGGGAGUACUGCCCUAUGGGUUGUAAACCUCUUUUGUCGGGGAGCAAAAGCCGGACGUGUCCGGCUGUGAGAGUACCCGAAGAAAAAGCAUCGGCUAACUCCGUGCCAGCAGCCGCGGUAAUACGGAGGAUGCGAGCGUUAUCCGGAUUUAUUGGGUUUAAAGGGGGCGCAGGCGGAUUUUUAAGUCAGCGGUAAAAUCGUGGGGCUCAACCCCAUCCAGCCGUUGAAACUGGGGAUCUAGAGUGUGCGAGAGGUAUGCGGAAUGCGUGGUGUAGCGGUGAAAUGCAUAGAUAUCACGCAGAACCCCGAUUGCGAAGGCAGCAUACCGGUGCACAACUGACGCUCAGGCACGAAAGCGUGGGUAUCGAACAGGAUUAGAUACCCUUGUAGUC